CUCUCUCCCAAAGUCUCUCUCUCUCCGUCGAUCUCCUUCUCUUCUCUCCGCGCGACAUUCUUCUCAUCGUCGACGGAGGACCUGACCUCGCGACGGUCGCUAUCGAAGACCACUAAACGCCUCACGACGGCCAAACAACCGCCACCGUCUGUGAAAAACGUCGUCAGUCGUUGGCUUCUCCCAAAUUUGUCUCUCAAUUCUGUGUUUCCUCCACUCCGCAAUUCAGAAUAACUAAUUUGCAGAUGAUGUGUUGUUUGAUUUGGAGAUAUAUAUCAAGCUGCGCAGAUGCUUCUUUGAAUUUUUGUUCCCUUUUAUUGUAAUUGAUAUUAUUUUCUUUAAUGGGACAAUUUUUGCAAUGUGCACUUGGGAUUUAGGGCCACAAUGUACUAAUUGUAAUUGAGAUGAUUCUGGUCAUUUGUACAAUCUCUGAUCUUAUUGUUAAACUUGGUACAUUUUAGUAUAACCUGUGUUUUUUCGUUUUUUUUAUUUUUUUUGAAA